UACGAAGGGGGCUAGCGUUGUUCGGAAUUACUGGGCGUAAAGCGUGCGCAGGCGGCCUUCCAAGUCAGGGGUGAAAGCCCAGAGCUCAACUCUGGAACUGCCCUUGAAACUGUUGGGCUUGAGUACGGGAGAGGUGAGUGGAAUUCCGAGUGUAGAGGUGAAAUUCGUAGAUAUUCGGAAGAACACCAGUGGCGAAGGCGGCUCACUGGACCGUAACUGACGCUCAUGCACGAUAGCGUGGGGAGCAAAC
rnacentral:rRNA from 1 species